rnacentral:lncRNA from 1 species
AGUCCCGGCUCUGUGUCUGCCCCGGAGAGGCUGCAAGGCAAGAGGAGCAGCGGCGUUAAUCUGUUGAGGGCUGAGAGAAACGUGAGCGUUACCCUGGGCUGGCCCCUUGGCUGCUCUCACUUACUACGGAGCUGGAAGGUGGCCCCUGACUUCUUUGCAAAGGCCAUAGGCAAGCACCCAAAGCAUAUCAUCAGGUGCCCACAAAGCACAGGACACCGGGCCGACACCUGGAGCUGGGGUGGGGCCUCCUUCAUGCCAGGCCUGGACCAUGAAGAGGAAGCCACUUUCUGUCCCCAAGGAGCUCAAGUCUGAUGGGGAAGGAGCCACUGGAGUGGACGGAGUCAGGGCCUGGGAUGCCAACCACAGGACCCAGCUCUGUCAGCGAAGCAGAAAGGUUGUGCCUGGUCUCCCUGCGUCCCAGACCAAUCCCUCCUCCUGGGUGUAUGAUCUUUGCCUGCUGAAUCCUGUCUUCCAGUUAGCCGCGAGCUCAUGGAGCCUCCUCUGCAUGUACAGUUAUCCACUCAGUGGGGCAGGACUGUGUGGAAGGGAAACGGAGGCUGCGUGGGAGCCUGGAACAGGAGGGUGGCACCUGGGCUAUUCCCUCUGCCAGGGAAUUCCUUCGUCCUCGUUCAGAAAACAUCUACCCAUUCGGUAAGAUCAGCUGCCACUCUGUGGUCCCAUCACACUUGGCUGAGCACUCUGUUGAGUCUGUUUAUUUCUCUCUGGACCGGGGGUGGCUCAUGGACAGGGACUCCCAGCACUGAGCACCCAGCAGGGGCAGAGAGGUAUCUGCUGGCUGAGUGAAUGACCCUGACCAAAUGGGAAGAGAGACGCCUUCCUGGCCUGGGGGCACUGAGAUGCUGCAGCCUGGCCGCGUGGGGGUCGUCAUCAGCUGAGUCUGCGGUCCCCUGUGGUCACACAGGACCAGGUCCUCCUAGACUCCACAGCCCCCGGCCCAGAGAUGAGGAAGGUGCUGCUCGGCCCGACAUGGGAGUGGCUCCUGCCCACCAUGGGCCACAGCCUUCCUGCUCAGCUCAGCCUCGGUGGUGAAUAACUCUGCCCCUGCUGUGCCACUUCCGGGCUCUCCGGGCUCCCACACUCUGCUGCGGAGGCCCAGGCUGGCUCCCUCUCAGGGUGGGUGCUGCCUCUGGAGGGUGGAGGUGAGGGGAAGGGACUGAGGGUGGCCCUGCGGGGCCUUGAUGGAGCAGCAGUGGGGACCAUGCACCUCUGAGGGUCUGGGUGAGUGGGGGCUGCAGCCAGGCCUGGGGGCAGGCUGGGGAAAAGGCUUUCCCCAGCCUGGUUUUCCCCAGCCUGGCUGCCCCGGGGGAUCAGGAGGGUCUGCAAACCAAGCUCUGGGGCUCCCUGAGGUUCCAGGAAGAACCCCGCCUGUCCCAGCAAAGAUGGAUCCAGGAGAGGAGUGGGCUUGGCCACCUCGGCUGCCACCAGAAGCUGCCCCCUCAGCUCCUAUCUGUUCCCCUCUGCCCCUGGAGCUUCUGAAACCACUUCCCUCCUCCCUGGACUUCUGCAGGCCGAGGUAUGACUGUUCUGUCUCCUGUUAGCAAGGUCUGCAGCAUUGCUCUGAGCAGCAUCCUCCAAUGUGGUGCACCUGCUCGACAGGGGCGCAAAGGUAGGUGCUGGUGGGGGGAAGUGGUGGACUUGCUCCCCACUCCGAAAAGCUCUCACUCCUCAGGAAAGCUCUCAGAAGCAGAGCCUGCAUCUGACUGGUCUCUGCACCCCAGUGCCUGGCAUAGCUUCUGGCCUCAGGUAGGUUUCAGGUAAGGUCUGAAUGAGUGAUUGAGGGAAACAGGUGCUGGCUUGGAGAAGAUGCUGUAGGAUAGAAGGCACUGAGCUGGGUCUUGAAUGGACAGGGUUUGAGCCAUCAGCCAUGGAGGAAGGGCUAUCCACAAGCAGAGACUCAAGGUAGGGAAGCACAGAGUGACCAGGGAUGAUGCAGUUGGGCCAGCUGGGUGGGGGACGAUGGAGGGAAGAUGUCAAACAGGGAGCAGGAGAAAAAAAUAACACAGAGAGGGGCAGGACCCUGGCAACAACUGCACUGAAGUGCUUUAGGCAUUUCCAGAAAUCCAGCGUUCUUCUUCCCCGGGCAGGGCCUACCAGGGAAAGCAAAAGCCUGCAAAGCCUCAGUGCCUGGCCCGCUCCUGGCUUGGAAAGAGGAACAGAGGGAGGACAGCAGGGCUGGGUGGUCUCCCGAUCACAAGCAUACAUUUCCCAGGCAUCUGGGCAGUAAUGGAAUUGUCAGCCUGGAAGUCACCUCGAAGGAGAAAUGACUGUGUGCCUCAGACAGAACAGACCCCGGGCCCCAGGGUGGAGCACGCACUAUCCAUGAGCUCAGGGUCCUAGGGGUGGAGUCCAGGGCCCUGGGUGGCAGGGCCAGGAGGAGCAGCCAGGUCUACACAGGAUGGCACCGUGCAGUGGUGGGACGCUAAGCAGGGCCUGGUGAGCACUUGCUGGGUGAUCGCCACGUGCUGGCAUGGCACUGGCACUGGCACUUCACACUCCUCAUUGCUUUUGAGUUUUGGGAGAGGUGCAGUGAGGUGACCUGCCCAGAGGAGGGAGGCUGACCUGAUCUGACAUCUGACAUAGGCCAGUCCUGUCUCGCAUUGGUUCCUGGCCUGUGUACUGGGCUCACCUGGAGGCUUUAAAAACAUACUGAGGCUCAGACUUCACCCCACAAGUUUCUGAUUCAAGAGCAUGUUUCUGCCUUUUUGUUCUCACUCCCAAAGUGUCCGGAUCUGUGCUCAGAGCUCAAAUAAAUUUACUGAAAAAAAUAAAAUUAAGGAACGACAGCUCAAAGAGCCAGCAAUUUAUGCAAAUGAAUGCAAAUAAAUACACACUUCCAUAC